rnacentral:tRNA from 1 species
GGGGUCGUGGGCUAGCAUGGUAUUCACUACUUGCUUGCAGUAAUGCAGGUAAGAACAGAGUGCUUCGAGCCUUGGGCGCUCGAGGUCGCCGGUUCAAAUCCGGCCGACCCCACCA